rnacentral:rRNA from 1 species
UGCGCAUGGGCGCACGCCUGAUCCAGCCAUGCCGCGUGUGUGAGAAGGUCUUCGGAUUGUAAAGCACUUUAAGUUGGGAGGAAGGGCAGUUACCUAAUACGUUGUUGUUUUGACGUUACCGACAGAAUAAGCACCGGCUAACUCUGUGCCAGCAGCCGCGGUAAUACAGAGGGUGCAAGCGUUAAUCGGAAUUACUGGGCGUAAAGCGCGCG